rnacentral:rRNA from 1 species
CUCACCUUCAUCUGGGAGAUUCGGCUCCCAUUGAAGAUUAGGAUUUUCUUGUGGCAAUGGAUUCGUGGCCGCCUCCCUUUCGGCGUGGAGGUUCUGAAGCGCAAUGGCCCACGGGAUGGGAGCUACCCGCUUUGCGGGCCUAAAGAGGAUUUGAACCAUAUCUUCUUCACUUGCGUGUCCACGCAGUUCCUAUGGAGCUAUUUCCGUGAAAUAGUGGGCGGAAGCUAG